UCAACUUAAGAGUUUGAUUAUGGCUCAGAACGAACGCUUGCUGCAUGCUUUAUACAUGCAAGUCGAACGAAGGCCCUAGCUUGCUAGGUGUCCUUAGUGGCGCACGGGUGAGUAACACGUGGGAACAUACCUCAUAGUACGGAAUAACUGCGGGAAACUGUAGCUAAUACCGUAUAUUCCAGCAAUGGGAAAGAUUUAUCGCUAUGAGAUUGGCCCGCGCAAGAUUAGUUUGUUGGUAAGGUAAUGGCUUACCAAGGCUACGAUCUUUAGCUGGUUUGAGAGGAUGAUCAGCCACACUGGGACUGAGACACGGCCCAGACUCCUACGGGAGGCAGCAGUAGGGAAUAUUGGACAAUGAGCGAAAGCUUGAUCCAGCUAUGCCGCGUGUGCGAUG
rnacentral:rRNA from 1 species